rnacentral:lncRNA from 1 species
UAGGAGGAAGAUCAGCUGUUUUCAAAAAAGGAGACCCCUCCCUUUACGAUUUUCAUCUUCUCCAGCAAAACAAUGACCUAACGCCUAAGACCUAAGUUUCUUCUUCAACCAGAACACACUUGAAACCCCAGCCGUUUACCCCAUCUUCACCUCCAUGCUUCCUCACCUCACAGCAACCUAACGCCACGCUACAACCACCAACUGCCGUCGGCCGGAUCUCCCUUCAACUCACGCCCCAACAAGUAAGAGAACCCCAAAACCUGUACCAUCUUCUUCAACUAAACCCCUAACACCCUAAGAACCUAGAGCAACUUCGGUUCGAAUCAGGGGGUAUGUUCUCUUAUGUUUGUAUUCUCCAGAUUUGGUUUAACGUGAAAUCACGAUUGCUUCACCUUAUUUGUUACUAUUGUUUGGAUUUGUCUAUUUUAAUUAGUCUCAGUAUGAGUAAAGUGCGACCCUGUUCAUUUGUUCGAAGCUGCUUGUUCACAAAUACAAUCGC